UACGGGGGGAGCAAGCGUUGUUCGGAUUUACUGGGCGUAAAGGGCGCGUAGGCGGUCGUGACAAGUCACUUGUGAAAUCUCCGGGCUUAACUCGGAACGGUCAAGUGAUACUGUCGGACUAGAGUACAGAAGGGGCAACUGGAAUUCUCGGUGUAGCGGUGAAAUGCGUAGAUAUCGAGAGAACACCUGCGGCGAAGGCGGGUUGCUGGGCUGAUACUGACGCUGAUGCGCGAAAGCCAGGGAGCGAAGCGGG
rnacentral:rRNA from 1 species